ACAUCUGAAUGUCUUAUUUAUAGUAUAGAGGCCUGAUGAAGCAAACGAGAGUUUGCGAAACGUUGCUGAAUAUACUUUAAGAUCUUU